rfam:Acanthamoeba castellanii str. Neff unplaced genomic scaffold scf7180000084559, whole genome shotgun sequence.
UCCCCUGUGGUGUAGUUGGCUAGCAUUUCCGCCUGUCACGCGGACGACCCGGGUUCAAAUCCCGGCGGGGGAG